GGACAGGGGGCUGGGAGGCCAAUCAAUACUUGAACAAUCCUUCUUUAGACUCGGGUUCCCAGGCACCGAGUUGCUGUUUACACAACUGUCCUGAUGUAAUCAUUAAUAGUACCCCAGGCUCAGUGCCUGCGCUGGGGCAGAGAGGGCAGGUCCCCGGGGAUGGUGUUGACAACAAGUGUCUCAAGUAUCCCCAGAGGGAGCGGGCCACAGGGAGGUGGCCGACUGCUGCGCUUAUCACUGAGAACUCUGAAGGCUCCGCAACAGGGAGGGUCUUUUGACAGACGUCAAAAGGCCCUAAAACGGAAAACGCCUGAUAAGCACCCAGGAUCACCCUUAUCAAGGGCCACAGGAAAGGCGCCAGGUUUAAUCUCAAAACCACACCCGGAACCAACGGUUUGGAGACCUCAGGCAGCGCCUCCCACAGACACUCAGGGACUGAGGCUGUCAGCCUGGAGAAUGCCUGAGAGCACUGGGCGGGGACAGUGCAGUUGUCUUCUUCAUCCACAGUUUCCAUAUCCGCAGAUUCAACCAACCAGGAUCAAAGAAAGAGGAGAAGGGGUGGGAAAGAGAAGAAGAAGGAGGAGAAGAAGAGGAGGAGGAGGAGGAGGAGUGGAAGAAGAGGGAAGAAAAAGAAAAAAAAGAAAGAAAAAAACAGCUGGCACAUGCCUGUAAUCACAGUGGUUUGGGAGGCUGAGGCAGGAGGAUCCCAAGUUCAAAAGCCAGCCUCAGCAACUUAGCAAGAUCCUAAACAAGUUAGAAUUAUUCUGUCUCAAAAUGAAAAAUAAAAAGGGCUGACGUUGUGGCUCAGUGGUUAAGUG